rnacentral:rRNA from 1 species
AUUGAACGCUGGCGGCAGGCUUAACACAUGCAAGUCGAGCGAGCGGCGGACGGGUGAGUAAUGUCUGGGAAACUGCCUGCUGGAGGGGGAUAACUACUGGAACCGGUAGCUAAUACCGCAUACCAUCAGAUGUGCCCAGAGGGGAUUAGCGAGUAGGUGGGGGAAUGGCUCACCUAGGCGACGAUCCCUAGCUGGGCUGCGGGGAUGACAAGCCACACUGGAACUGAGACACGGCCCAGACGCCUACGGGAGGCAGCAGUGGGGAAUAGUGCACAAUGGGCGCAAGCCUGAUGCAGCCAUGCCGCGUGUGUGAAGAAGGCCUUCGGGUUGUAAAGCACUUUCAGCGAGGAGGCGUUACGCGCAGAAGAAGCACCGGCUAACUCCGUGCCAGCAGCCGCGGUAAUUC